ensembl:lncRNA
UGCUAAUGUAACUGGUGUAUGAUUGACUCAAUUUAAUUUGCUUUCUUUUAAUUCCUAUAUUGGAUUAUUUUUUUUUUUGUAUGUAUAUAUUCUGUUUAUGCUACUAUAAAUUCUAUUAGUUUCAUAAUAAGAAAGGGUUAGUGAACUCCACGAAAUUUUGUUCAUUUAUUAUUGUUUGCAAGUUAAAAUUACAUAAUAUUAGAUUCGUGGAACUUUUUCUUUGGGAUUUUGUCUGGGGAGGGGAAUUAUAUCAGUGGAACACAUCCGGGGUUUUCCCCGCGUGCGAUGUGCGAUAGCCUCAGUCCACCUGUGUGCGAGGCUAAGGAGCACAUGUAUUAUUGAGCUCUCCCCGUAAUUGACUCUGAGAGGGAGAAGCGGUCGCCUUUUGAUCCACUGAUUAUUUCUCCUUAUUACAGACCAAGUAAAGGAAAGUGCUAAAUCUCAUCGAAGAGUGGUCGUGUGGUCUCUGUGUGUGUGGGGUGACCGGUCCAGACAUGCUACAUAAAUUUGGUGCCGUGACCCGGAUGCACCAGAUCUGCAGUAGCCGAUCGCUGGGGUUUGACAACGCCGAAUCACAACGCUUCUGAAAUCAUCGGACAAAGACUCUUCAUCGUUGACGUUUUGGUGGUGGUGUCUGGACAUGGAACGGAGUAACUGAACUCUCGCUUUACAUUACUCACACAUUGGACUUUACACUUUGCGCAUCUUUGAAGGUUUCCCUUUUUUUUAUUUGUUUUCUUUAUUUCUGUAUUUAAAAGUGGAUAACAGUGAAGUAAAUUUUUCUUGUUUUUCAUCAAUCUACCUUUCAUGAUAUGGCAGAAGGGGGGUGGAACGAAGAUUUAGUGACGCCACACAUUGGCCGGGGCCGUGGGUUUUUUGGGGUACCUGAGCCUGUAGUAGGCAAACCACGUGUUUUGGUGUAUGAUUCUGCGACUAUUUCGGGCAUGUCGAAUAAUGAGUCAAAUAAACCAAAGUCUUCCACUCCUGCCAAUGUUGGUUGUGACAGUGUUACACAGCAGCUGCGCGACCUCAUUGGCGAGCUUGGAAACCAGAUUGGUGAUUCAAUUGUUUCACGGUUGUUA